GAAACCCAAAAGAUCGAAUGGGGAGAUUCAUCGUCAGCUCAUUUUGUAUAUGUAAGAGUUAUGAUGCGNNAGUUACUCUUNNGUAGUAUUGCUNUGUACAUACUUUUACGUUUAUUUGCAAGAUGUUGUCGGCGUGCACUUCUCCCCUAGUAGAACGUCGCGACCCGUUGGGUGUUGGUCUACGACCCGAGNUGGGAGACUUUGAUAUUNNUUANNCAAUAUUAAAGACCCUUGGUGUUNUUCUGACCGGCUGC
rnacentral:rRNA from 1 species